rnacentral:misc_RNA from 1 species
GCAAACUUGGUCAUUUAGAGGAAGUAAAAGUCGUAACAAGGUUUCCGUAGGUGAACCUGCGGAAGGAUCAUUAAAGAAUAAUCCUGUUCUCUCUCUUUGUAGACUUAACCAUUGUUGCUUUGGCAGUGCCCCCGGCCUUCGGGCUGGACAGCGCCUGCCAGAGGACCGAAACCCUUGAAUUUUUGCUGUCUGAGUACUAUUUUCAAUAGUUAAAACUUUCAACAACGGAUCUCUUGGUUUUGGCAUCGAUGAAGAACGCAGC